AGAGUUUGAUCCUGGCUCAGGGUGAACGCUAGCGGCGCGCCUUAGGCAUGCAAGUCGAACGUUCCCCGCUCUUUUUGGGUUUAAGCUAACCUUGCCGGGUUUGGUUUGAGCUUAAAAAGAGCGGGGGAGUGGCGGACGGGUGAGUAACGCGUGAGAACGUACCUUCUAGUGAGGAAUAACCUGCCGAAAGGUGGGCUAAUACCGCAUGUGAUGCUGAGAGCAAUCGAAGUAUGAAAGGGUGUAACUACCCGCUAGAAGAGCGGCUCGCGUCCCAUCAGCUUGUUGGUAAGGUAAUGGCUUACCAAGGCAACGACGGGUAGCUGGACUGAGAGGUUGACCAGCCACAAGAGCACUGAGACACGGGCUCUACUCCUACGGGAGGCAGCAACCGGGAAUCGUAGACAAUGGGCGAAAGCCUGAUCUCGCGACGCCGCGUGGAGGAUGAAGGCCUUCGGGUUGUAAACUCCUUUUAUAAGGGAAUAAGCCUCGCUUUGGCGGGGUUGACUGUACCUUACGAAUAAGCCGCUGCUAACUGCGUGCCAGCAGCCGCGGUGAAACGUAGGCGGCAAGCGUUACCCGGAUUUACUGGGCGUAAAGAGUGCGCAGGUGGUGAAGUAAGUUUUCGUUAAAAUACACAGGCUCAACCUGUGGAGCGCGGAAAUACUGCAUUACUUGAGAAAGUCAGGGGGUACCGGAACAGAUGGUGGAGUAGUGAAAUGCGUUGAUAUCAUCUGGAACACCCAAGGCGAAGGCAGGUACCUGGGGCUUUUCUGACACUGAUGCACGAAAGCGUGGGGAGCGAAGCGGAUUAGAUACCCGCGUAGUCCACGCCGUAAACGUUGGACACUAGAUAUCGGGCUGGUGACGGUUCGGUGUCGUAAGCUAACGCGUUAAGUGUCCCGCCUGGGGAGUACGGCCGCAAGGCUAAAACUCAAAGGAAUUGACGGGGACCCGCACAAGCAGGGGAACGUGUGGUUUAAUUCGAGACAGAACGAAGAACCUUACCAGGGUUUGACAUGUAUGUGGUAGGAACCCGAAAGGGCAACAACCUGCAAAGGAGCAUACACAGGUGCUGCAUGGCUGUCGUCAGCUCGUGCCGUGAGGUGUACCCUUAAGUGGGGUAACGAGCGCAACCCCUACAGUUAGUUGUAUCACUCUAGCUGGACUGCCCCCGUAAAACGGGGGAGGAAGGAGGGGACGACGUCAAGUCAUCAUAGCCCUUAUGUCCUGGGCUACACACACGUUACAAUGGACGUUUAACAACGGGUUACAACUUCGCGAGAAGAAGUGAAUCUCUGAAAAGCGUCCUCAGUUGGGAUUGGACUCUGCAAUUCGAGCCCAUGAACGAGGACUUGCUAGUAAUCGCAGGUCAGCAUACUGCGGUGAAUACGUUCUCGGGUCUUGUACACACCGCCCGUCAAGUGAGCAAAGUCGGGGGUAGCUGAAGUGCCAGCUUGUCUGGUCCGAGGCUAAAUUCGGCGAUGAGCGCUAAGUCGUAACAAGGUAACC
rnacentral:rRNA from 1 species